CGGCAUGCUUAACACAUGCAAGUCGCACGAAGGUUUCGGCCUUAGUGGCGGACGGGUGAGUAACGCGUAGGGAUCUAUCCACGGGUGGGGGACAACUUCGGGAAACUGGAGCUAAUACCGCAUGAUACCUGAGGGUCAAAGGCGCAAGUCGCCUGUGGAGGAACCUGCGUUCGAUUAGCUAGUUGGUGGGGUAAAGGCCUACCAAGGCGAUGAUCGAUAGCUGGUUUGAGAGGAUGAUCAGCCACACUGGGACUGACACACCGCCCACACUCCUACGGGAGGCAGCAGUGGGGAAUAUUGGACAAUGGGCGCAAGCCUGAUCCAGCAAUGCCGCGUGUGUGAAGAAGGUCUUCGGAUUGUAAAGCACUUUCGACGGGGACGAUGAUGACGGUACCCGUAAAAGACCCCCCGGCUAACUUCGUGCCAGCAGCCGCGGUAAUACGAAGGGGGCUAGCGUUGCUCGGAAUGACUGGGCGUAAAGGGCGCGUAGGCGGUUGUUACAGUCAGAUGUGAAAUCCCCGGGCUUAACCUGGGAACUGCAUUUGAUACGUGACGACUAGAGUUCGAGAGAGGGUUGUGGAAUUCCCAGUGUAGAGGUGAAAUUCGUAGAUAUUGGGAAGAACACCGGUGGCGAAGGCGGCUACCUGGCUCGAUACUGACGCUGAGGCGCGAAAGCGUGGGGAGCAAACAGGAUUAGAUACCCUGGUAGUCCACGCUGUAAACGAUGUGUGCUGGAUGUUG
rnacentral:rRNA from 1 species